rnacentral:rRNA from 1 species
GGUCAAGUGAAGAAGCGCAUACGGUGGAUGCCUUGGCAGUCAGAGGCGAUGAAAGACGUGGUAGCCUGCGAAAAGCUUCGGGGAGUCGGCAAACAGACUUUGAUCCGGAGAUGUCUGAAUGGGGGAACCCAGCCAUCAUAAGAUGGUUAUCUUGUACUGAAUACAUAGGUGCAAGAGGCGAACCAGGGGAACUGAAACAUCUAAGUACCCUGAGGAAAAGAAAUCAACCGAGAUUCCCUUAGUAGUGGCGAGCGAACGGGGACUAGCCCUUAAGUGGCUUUGAGAUUAGCGGAACGCUCUGGAAAGUGCGGCCAUAGUGGGUGAUAGCCCUGUACGCGAAAAUCUCUUAGUCAUGAAAUCGAGUAGGACGGAGCACGAGAAACUUUGUCUGAAUAUGGGGGGACCAUCCUCCAAGGCUAAAUACUACUGACUGACCGAUAGUGAAC